GAUGAAGAACGCAGCGAAAUGCGAUAAGUAGUGUGAAUUGCAGAAUUCAGUGAAUCAUCGAAUCUUUGAACGCACAUUGCGCCCUUUGGUAUUCCAAAGGGCAUGCCUGUUCGAGCGUCAUUUGUACCCUCAAGCUUUGCUUGGUGUUGGGCGUCUUGUCUCUAGCUUUGCUGGAGACUCGCCUUAAAGUAAUUGGCAGCCGCCCUACUGGUUUCGGAGCGCAGCACAAGUCGCACUCUCUAUCAGCAAAGGUCUAGCAUCCAUUAAGCCUUUUUUUCAACUUUUGACCUCGGAUCAGGUAGGGAUACCCGCUGAACUUAAGCAUAUCAAUAAGCGGAGGA
rnacentral:misc_RNA from 1 species